GUGGGUAUAGCUCAGUGGUAGAGUGCAUGCUUAGCAUGCAUGAGGUCCUGGGUUCAAUCCCUAGACCUUCA
rnacentral:tRNA from 1 species